rnacentral:hammerhead_ribozyme from 1 species
AUCCAGCUGACGAAUCCUAAAAAGGACGAAACGCGCGUCCUGGAU